AGAAGGUAGAAGGAACAAAAAAAAGGGGGGGUGGAAGGUUGUUGUUUCUAAGUCCCACAUUGGUUAGAUGAGGGAAGAGAAGAGGUGCCUUCAUGUAUAAAAAGGAGGGGGUGUGUGCAUUAGGAAGCAUGAGAGGCUAAGAUGCAAUUUAGAGAAAAUUGCAACUUUGGGCCCAAAGGUUUGAAUAAUUAAAUUCAAACCUAUAGUUUUUUUUUAAUAUAAUUUUGGGACUCACAAUCCCAUUUUUAUAUUAUUUUUCUCUCUUCCUCUCACGUUGCUCGGCGUUUUCUCGCAAGGGGGGAUUAUUUUCUUUUUUCUUCAGAUUAUAUUGACAAAGAUAGUGGUGAAAAAGGAGUUGUGAAGGGGAACUUGUUAUUCAAGACACAAGGAGCGAAUCCGGCCGAGAAAGCACCAGAGGUGUAAUUAUGGUGUAUGAGACACCAUCUUUUACGUUGCCUCUUAUUUUGGAUUAUACAAUGUAUCUUGUGCCA